AUUGAACGCUAGCGGGAUGCCUUACACAUGCGAGUCGAACGGAGUGGCGAACGGGUGAGUAAUGUAUCGGAACGUGCCCAGUAGCGGGGGAUAAAUACGCGAAAGCGUAGCUAAUACCGCAUACUAUUGGAGCGGCGGAUAUCGGAUUAGCUAGUUGGUGGGGUAAGGGAUCACCAAGGCGUCGAUCAUUAGCUGGUUUGCGAGGCAGACAAGCCACACUGGGACUGAGACUCGGCCCAGACUCCUACGGGAGGCAGCAGUGGGGAAUUUUGGACAAUGGGGGAAACCCUGAUCCAGCCAUCCCGCGUGUGCGAUGAAGGCCUUCGUGUUGUAAAGCACUUUUGGCAGGAAAGCGGUACCUGCAGAAUAAGCACCGGCUAACUACGUGCCAGCAGCCGCGGUAAUAC
rnacentral:rRNA from 1 species